AUAUUGUUAAAAUGCAGAUUUUGAGCCAGCAGAUCUGGAAUAAGGCCUGAGAUUCUGCAUUUCUAACAAGAUC
rnacentral:miRNA from 1 species